UACGUAGGUGGCAAGCGUUAUCCGGAAUUAUUGGGCGUAAAGAGCGCGCAGGUGGUUGAUUAAGUCUGAUGUGAAAGCCCACGGCUUAACCGUGGAGGGUCAUUGGAAACUGGUCGACUUGAGUGCAGAAGAGGGAAGUGGAAUUCCAUGUGUAGCGGUGAAAUGCGUAGAGAUAUGGAGGAACACCAGUGGCGAAGGCGGCUUCCUGGUCUGUAACUGACACUGAGGCGCGAAAGCGUGGGAAGCAAACAGGAUUAGAUACCCCGGUA
rnacentral:rRNA from 1 species